AGUGUUGCAGAUAAAAUGUGGGCUCUGUUUAUCUGGGGACAAGUAAUGCUGUAUGCUGUGUCAGCGCAAGAGGAUAAUGAUUGUCUUCAACUACAUGGGAAUGGAACAACAUCGAAUCGUAAGAUUUUUUUGGGGUGGGAGGGGGGGAUGUG